GAAAAAGCCAUUUGGAUCCCUUGAAAUUUUAAGGUUCGAAAGCAUGCCACAAUGGCGGGAGUGGAUUUCUUAUGGUGAUGAAGCUUUCCCUCUUCUUCAAAAGCUUUCCAUCAAAAAAUGUCCCAACUUAACCAAUACCUUACCCAGUAAUCUUCCUUCAUUAACAAUGCUUGAGAUCCAGGGAUGCCAGCAGCUUGGGGCUUCACUUCCAAGGGCUCCAAUUAUUCUUUCAAUUAAAUUGGUGGAUGACUAUCGUAAUUUUUUGUUUGGGAAAAUGUCUUCUGGGUUGCAGCGUCUGAAAGUGGAAAGAUUCCAAUGCCACCCUUUUGAUCCUCUGCUGGUGCAAAUGGGUGGUCUUUCCACUAAUGUCGAUGAAAUUGAAAUCAGAAACUGCAAUGCACUUAAG
rnacentral:misc_RNA from 1 species